rnacentral:rRNA from 1 species
GAUGAACGCUGGCGGUAUGCCUAACACAUGCAAGUCGAACGAAGCUUUAGGGCUUAGUGGCGGACGGGUGAGUAACGCGUGAGAAUCUGCCUCGAGGAUGGGGACAACAGUUGGAAACGACUGCUAAUACCCAAUAUGGCGAAAGCUGAAAUAUAUUUUGCCUUGAGAGGAGCUCGCGUCCGAUUAGUUAGUUGGUGGGGUAAAAGCCUACCAAGGCAGCGAUCGGUAGCUGGUCUGAGAGGAUGAGCAGCCACACUGGGACUGAGACACGGCCCAG